rnacentral:lncRNA from 1 species
UUCAUCCCCAGAUCUCGUACUGAUACCCCCUCUUCUCUUUUUGUUUAAUCAGCUUGUUUUGGCAUUACGAUAAAGAGAGAAAGAAACCGGACACACAACAUCUCCAUUGAAUCCAUCUAAUCUCUCCUCUGAUUGAACGCGAACCAAAGGAAGAAGAACAUAAAUCGGAAGCCAUCCGAUUCUAGACCUUAAUCGGAGCGCUGAAACCCAAUUAAGGACUAACGUGAUUAAGAAGGAAGAAACUAUGCCUGGCAGCAUUGGGUGAAUGGAGGUAGAAACAGAGGAAACUGAAAAUGGUAAUAAUGAUGUAUCUCGUCCCUAAAGAGGCUAAUGAUCAGCCGAAGGAACUACUAUACUAGAAACAAGCUUCUAAAAGGCUAUUGCAGAAUGGGAUACGGGUACUGAUGCGGGUCCUCUUGUAACUAGGCCUAGGCAUAUUCGGUUUGAAUCUCUUCAUAAAGAAGGAAGAAACUAUGCCUGGCAGCAUUGGGUGAAUGGAGGUAGAAACAGAGGAAACUGAAAAUGGUAAUAAUGAUGUAUCUCGUCCCUAAAGAGGCUAAUGAUCAGCCGAAGGAACUACUAUACUAGAAACAAGCUUCUAAAAGGCUAUUGCAGAAUGGGAUACGGGUACUGAUGCGGGUCCUCUUGUAACUAGGCCUAGGCAUAUUCGGUUUGAAUCUCUUCAUAAAGGUAUAUAGGGGU